rnacentral:rRNA from 2 species
UGGGGAAUAUUGCACAAUGGGCGGAAGCCUGAUGCAGCGACGCCGCGUGGGGGAUGACGGCCUUCGGGUUGUAAACCUCUUUCAGUGCAGAACAAGGCUCUUAGUGGGUUGAGGGUAUGCGCAGAAGAAGCGCCGGCUAACUACGUGCCAGCAGCCGCGGUAAUACGUAGGGCGCGAGCGUUGUCCGGAUUUAUUGGGCGUAAAGAGCUCGUAGGCGGUUUGUCGCGUCUGCUGUGAAAUCCUCUGGCUUAACUGGGGGCGUGCAGUGGGUACGGGCAGACUGGAGUGCGGUAGGGGAGACUGGAAUUCCUGGUGUAGCGGUGGAAUGCGCAGAUAUCAGGAGGAACACCGAUGGCGAAGGCAGGUCUCUGGGCCGCAACUGACGCUGAGGAGCGAAAGCAUGGGGAGCGAACAGG